rnacentral:rRNA from 1 species
GAUUCUGGCUCAGAACGAACGCUGGCGGCAGGCUUAACACAUGCAAGUCGAACGCACCGCAAGGUGAGUGGCAGACGGGUGAGUAACGCGUGGGAACCUUCCCUUUGGUACGGAAUAACUUCGGGAAACCGAAGCUAAUACCGUAUAAGUCCUUCGGGAGAAAGAUUUAUCGCCAAAGGAUGGGCCCGCGUUGGAUUAGCUAGUUGGUAGGGUAAAAGCCUACCAAGGCGACGAUCCAUAGCUGGUCUGAGAGGAUGAUCAGCCACACUGGGACUGAGACACGGCCCAGACUCCUACGGGAGGCAGCAGUGGGGAAUAUUGGACAAUGGGGGCAACCCUGAAUCCAGCCAUGCCGCGUGAGUGAAGAAGGCCUUAGGGUUGUAAAGCUCUUUUGGCGGGGACGAUAAUGACGGUACCCGCAGAAUAAGCCCCGGCUAACUUCGUGCCAGCCGCUGC